AAGUCGUAACAAGGUUUCCGUAGGUGAACCUGCGGAAGGAUCAUUAAUGAAUUAAAUCCGAGGUCGUUGCUGCUGGUCUCUUGAGACAUCGUGCACGCUUCCUUCUUAUUCAUCCACCCCAAACCGUGCACUCAUCGUAGGCCCGGAGAUUUCUCCGGUCUAUGUAUUUUUUAACACCGUAAAAAGUAAAUGAACGUAUCGAAUGCCGCUCACGCGGUAUUAACAAAAUUAAUACAACUUUCAACAACGGAUCUCUUGGCUCUC
rnacentral:misc_RNA from 1 species